AUGAAGGUUUUGGACUGGAGCCUGAUAAAUCACUGCGCAUCUCUCCAGUCUUCUACCAUAGAGCUGUCUACUCUUCUCACUUCUAUACUGUCGUCAGACAUAAGAAACCUCAUUGUGGACUUGCCCAGUUCUUCAGACUCCUGGUUAUUCUUGUGCUGUUUCUUCUCAAUGCCGUCCUCCCCUCUAGUGAUGAAUGACAUACGAGGACGGUUGAGCAGGUGUUUAGUGUCUGCAGUCGGCAUGUUGGAGCAUGACUCGAAGGAGGAAAUUUGAAUCUUUCAUUUCUUACAGAAGAGGGAAACCAAAGGUAUGAUAGAUUCCCACAGGGAAUGUGCACUCUCUCUCUCUCUCUCUCUCACACACACACACACACACACACACACACACACACACACAUCCUGUUUUGUUUUUUAAAAUUUCCUCUUCUAGGCACUUCUGAAAA
ensembl:lncRNA